rnacentral:rRNA from 1 species
GUAGGUGGCAAGCGUUGUCCGGAAUUAUUGGGGCGUAAAGCGCGCGCAGGUGGUUCUUUAAGUCUGAUGUGAAAGCCCCCCGGGCUCAACCGGGGGAGGGUCAUUGGAAACUGGGGAACUUGAGUGCAGGAGAGGAAAGUGGAAUUCCACGUGCAGCGGUGAAAUGCGUAGAUAUGUGGAGGAACACCAGUGGCGAAGGCGACUUUCUGGCCUGUAACUGACACUGAGGCGCGAAAGCGUGGGGAGCAAACAGGAUUAGAUACCCUGGUAGUCCACGCCGUAAACGAUGAGUGCUAAGUGUUGGGGGGUUUCCGCCCCUCAGUGCUGCAGCUAACGCAUUAAGCACUCCGCCUGGGGAGUACGGUCGCAAAGACUG